AUUAGAUAACGGAGGAAAGGGAAAAAAAAAAUAGAAGAGAUGGAGAGGGACGAUUCUUGACAAAGAAACGUUUACCUAGGUUAGAGAAGCGUCUCUGUAACGUGUCAUCACACGACUGACUUAACUUUUUUCUAUUUAUGUUUUAAUUAAAAUGUUAAACUAUAUUAUUAUUAUUUGUCUGGAGUUACUGCUUCAGAAAUUCUAACGUUGCUGAUGCUCUAAAGAUCUCGAUUCCAUUUCCACUGUCAAGUAACGCGCAAGAGUUAUGUCAUUUAUUGAUGAAAACCCAAAAACCCCCACGGUCCGUUCUUCAUUACAGAUUUAUCUCGGUGGUCUUUACCUCUUUAUUCAUACUUUCCCAUAAUGUUAAAUUCACAGAUUCAUUUCUCUGACUUGAAGGCCGUCCGCUGCAAGGCUGUAGUUCAGAGCAGACUCUGGAGGUCAGUUGAUGGCCAUCGAUAUGCUCCUUCUUGAUGCCAAGAAGUGAAAGUUGGUUCUUAACGAGCAGGUGAGUUAGCUAGGAAGCAGCUACUGUCCAUGUCUGCACUUCAGAAGGACUGUGGAUGUAGACACAAUGGGAAGAAUGCUUUGUUAUUCUAUCAUUUUCUUAUAAUACUCAAUUCUUAUUUUGUGAUAUAUAUCUAAUUGUUGAAAUAUGCUUAUUUUAAAGAGUGGUCUUUACUUUCGGGUGAACCAGCUUCCGAUCCUUCUCAGGGACACCCCGUAAUGGAAGUAAAAAUCAACCAGUGAACAAACUUUUCGAGUUAAGUAUUAGGAUAGUGGUGAAGACAUCGACAUUGACGUCUCCAGCUCCCAAACAAAGGAAGUUUUGUAACUUUGUAUUAUAUGUCAGACUUAUUGUCAUGUAUUUUAUAUAUCUUGCUACGUCAAUCUCGGUCUCUCUUGAUCAAUAUCAGAUACUGAUGUUUGGGGUCUCCAUAUUUUGGUUCUCUUUAUGGCUUCUCUAAAAUUGGUGUUGUUUGUUGCAGAAUCACAUAUUGUGUUGUUUUUUUACUUUAGCUGCUUUGGUACUUGGUAGUAAGUUACGAUAUGGUUGCGGAUGUGAGAAAUUUAACUUUAUAAGAUGUUGCUCCCUGUUUGAGUAAAACAUUGUUUUGUUACUGGUUAAACUAUUAGAAAAUUUUAUUGGAGUCUGAUUCUGAAACUUUUCAAGAAGCUUAGUAUGUAUAAUGGCUUGCCAACAUGUUUUACUUUACUUUUUUUAAUUGUUCACUGUUUUGAAUUCUCAGAGGAUUUUGACGAAGCGAUGUUAUACCAAAGAACAAACCUGAUCAGGACGUCGGUGCCCAAAACUCACAGGAGUGGGAGCUUCCACAGUGUUCACAAGAUAUUGUUGGGAGUACUUUAACCUUCCAAUUGAACCUAUUCCACUUCAACUUGACUGCAAAGCAUCAGAGCUUCACUGUUUCCCGCAUUUAGGAACCAAUCAGCGUCCACCGCAGUCUAAUUUGGAGGUUCUGGGUAGGAAUAACAAUCUGGGAGAUGAUAUGUAAGGUGCUGGAGCAGUCAAAAAGAGCAACGUUCCUGGAGUUAAAAAAACCUCUGUGGAUCAUGGUACCUGUGUUGGCGAUGAAGCGGUUGAAGGUGGACUAGCUGAUGCAACUGCUCCAGGUCACAACUCGACUCUGUUAAUUGAAGGGAGAGGAGAGGAGUCACCAGUUAAGGAAGAUGGGUGCUCUGGAAAGAAGGCACCAAUUGAGUGACAUCGAAAGAGCAAGGGGAACCAAAGUUACAAGACAUGAUGAUUUAUACGUUGCAUUUUCAGACAUUAUCAAGUCCGACUACUUCAAAAAUUUUAUAUCAUUGGUUUCCUUAGGUUUUUAAACUCCACCAUAUCAGACUUUUUCAGUUAUAAAAUAAAGCUUCCUGUUUGCAAAAAAAAAAAAAACUUUUUUCCUAACAAAUCAUAAUCAAAUAUUAACAAUUAGU